UUGUCCUGGUCUAUGCUUUCUCUGCUCCCCCUGUAUUCUUGUAACAGGGAAGUCUGCAGGAUACACAGCAGUCUCCCUCUCAGUUUAGGAGGACUAUCUGAGUAUAGGGCUGCCUCUUAAUGGCACGAGAGGGCAAU